rnacentral:rRNA from 1 species
CCUGGUUGAUUCUGCCAGUAGUCAUAUGCUUGUCUCAAAGAUUAAGCCAUGCAUGUCUAAGUAUAAGCAAUUAUACGGCGAAACUGCGAAUGGCUCAUUAAAUCAGUUAUCGUUUACUUGAUAGACCCAUACUACUUGGAUAACCGUGGUAAUUCUAGAGCUAAUACAUGCGAAAAACCGCGACUUCGGAAGCGGUGUAUUUAUUAGAUUAAAGACCAAUGCCCUUCGGGGCUGACUGGUGAUUCAUGAUAACUUCACGAAUCGCACGGCCUUGCGCCGGCGAUGGCUCAUUCAAAUUUCUGCCCUAUCAACUUUCGACUUUAGUGUAGUGGACUAAAGUGGUUGCAACGGGUAACGGAGGGUUAGGGCUCGACCCCGGAGAAGGAGCCUGAGAGACGGCUACUACAUCCAAGGAAGGCAGCAGGCGCGCAAAUUACCCAAUCCCGACCCGGGGAGGUAGUGACAAUAAAUACUGAUACAGGGCUCUUUUGGGUCUUGUAAUUGGAAUGAGUACAAUUUAAAUCUCUUAACGAGGAACAAUUGGAGGGCAAGUCUGGUGCCAGCAGCCGCGGUAAUUCCAGCUCCAAUAGCGUAUAUUAAAGUUGUUGUGGUUAAAAAGCUCGUAGUUGAACCUGGGCCUCGCGCAGACCGGUCCGCCUCACCGCGUGCACUGGUCCUGCCGGGGCUUUCACUAGGGGAUUCGCAUGUCCUUCACUGGGCGUGUGCGGAGCCUGGACUUUUACUGUGAAAAAAUUAGAGUGUUCAAAGCAGGCCUAUGCUCGAAUACAUUAGCAUGGAAUAAUAGAAUAGGACGUGUGGUUCUAUUUUGUUGGUUAUGGGACCGCCGUAAUGAUUAAUAGGGACAGUCGGGGGCAUCAGUAUUCAAUAGUCAGAGGUGAAAUUCUUGGAUUUAUUGAAGACUAACUACUGCGAAAGCAUUUGCCAAGGAUGUUUUCAUUAAUCAGGAACGAAAGUUAGGGGAUCGAAGACGAUCAGAUACCGUCGUAGUCUUAACCAUAAACUAUGCCGACUAGGGAUCGGGCGAUGUUAUUUUUUGACUCGCUCGGCACCUUACGAGAAAUCAAAGUCUGUGGGUUCCUGGGGGAGUAUGGUGGCAACGCUGAAACUUAAAGAAAUUGACGGAAGGGCACCACCAGGAGUGGAGCCUGCGGCUUAAUUUGACUCAACACGGGGAAACUCACCAGGUCCAGACACAAUGAGGAUUGACAGAUUGAGAGCUCUUUCUUGAUUUUGUGGGUGGUGGUGCAUGGCCGUUCUUAGUUGGUGGAGUGAUUUGUCUGCUUAAUUGCGAUAACGAACGAGACCUUAACCUGCUAAAUAGCCCGCG